rnacentral:tRNA from 1 species
AAAAAUCUAGUUUAAAUAAAAAUAUUAAUUUGUCAAAUUAAAGUUGAAGAUUAACGAUUUUUG